GACGAACGCUGGCGGCGUGCCUAAUACAUGCAAGUUGAGCGCUGAAGGUUGGUACUUGUACCAACUGGAUGAGCAGCGAACGGGUGAGUAACGCGUGGGGAAUCUGCCUUUGAGCGGGGGACAACAUUUGGAAACGAAUGCUAAUACCGCAUAAAAACUUUAAACACAAGUUUUAAGUUUGAAAGAUGCAAUUGCAUCACUCAAAGAUGAUCCCGCGUUGUAUUAGCUAGUUGGUGAGGUAAAGGCUCACCAAGGCGAUGAUACAUAGCCGACCUGAGAGGGUGAUCGGCCACAUUGGGACUGAGACACGGCACAAACUCCUACGGGAGGCAGCAGUAGGGAUACUUCGGCCAUGGACGAAAGUCUGACCGAGCAACGCCGCGUGAGUGAAGAAGGUUUUCGGAUCGUAAAACUCUGUUGGUAGAGAAGAACGUUGGUGAGAGUGGAAAGCUCAUCAAGUGACGGUAACUACCCAGAAAGGGACGGCUAACUACGUG
rnacentral:rRNA from 1 species